UUAGAAGGAGGGGUCAAAAGAGAGACACAAAAGAUUCCCACCUUGUGCCAAAGCUAUAUAAGGGGGUGGAACAGAACAAAGGAGGCUGCAGGCAUGAGAAAUCCCCUACCUACCUCCUGAGUUGGAACAAGGACUGUGCCGGGGAAAGGACUGGACCCAGACUAGGAAGGAGUCUAGUCUGUGAAAGAAGCUUAUUGGAACAUCUCUGAGGAUCGCUCAUCUGCAGCUGUGCUGGUCUGUAAACCAAGUGGCUGUGCCUCAGAAAAACUCAAGGCAAAAAUCGUGCCCUCUCUUGCAUUGGUGAGCUACGACUGAAGACAACCGGUGGCCUUCCUGGGGUAUCUGUAGUGAGCCCAGUGCUCCCUUGUUACCAUGAGUCACGUCCUGCAAGAUGCCAUAACAACACUAAUCUAUACUGCUACAAUCAGAGGAUUAAGACAGCCAAGAAAGGAAUAAACAGCAGGAGCAGAUGAAGUGCCACAGGGAAGGGCAGUGUGAUUAUUUGCAUGCCAAUGGCGAUGGCUCUCCUUUCAUUUACAAUGGAGUAAAUCUGAAGUAAUUUCCCCACGUCAAUGGGGUUUCACUGCUGAGAGGAGCACCAGGCCUUUAGAAGGAACAUCAGCUGAGGAGAGCUGUUACAGAGAAGACCCUGAGCGCUGACGGACCAAGUAAGAUGACCUUUCUCCAGCAUGACAGUUCAAAUAUGCACAAUUAGCCAUGGAUAGUUUCCCCGAAGUGCUGUAUGGCGCACAAGAGGCUGAGCAGAACUGAGGAGGAAUUCUACAAAACAACAGGACACGUGCUAAUCAUCUCUCUCCAGCUGGUAAAUGAUGUUUAAAAGAAAACUGAGACGGGAGGCCUCAGGCUGGAUGCUCUAGUCAAUCCCGGUGACCUGAGAAUUAAGUGUGAUCCUAGAUUGUUCCGUGCCCAGCAUGUAAUUACAUGUCAUCUGCCUGAGCUAAGACUUGGAUUUUCGCAGGUUGCUGGUCUCCUACCUUGCUCCACGGCCAUUCAGUCUUUGACCUUAUUGCUGAGGAUAACAGGGCUGGCAAUUUUUGACUGGUUUGGUGAUUUGGGCACCUAUCCUGGGUGCUGGAGCCAGUUCACUCACUCAUUUCAUUUCAUGUAAACUAAACAGCCACUGGGUGGCAAACGGCAGCUGUUUCCAAUCGGUGGUUUUACCAAUGAGCUAAAGUUGAAGGGCUUUAUAUCCCAUUCCCCUGAGCUACACGGCCCUUUCUGUCAAAAAUCAUACUCUGAAAGGAGUCAAGUCAUCUAGUGAUGCAGCAUUCGCCUGCAAGACAUAAAUAUUUCAGCUUCACAACUAUAAGUGCCGAGCAAAACUCAAGCUCCAUUUCAUAUGACUGUGUUUCCCUGACAGAUCUAUCAGCCAA